GUGCAACCAACACAUCAAACUGUCAACAAAUCUGCAACAACACAAUCGGAAGCUUCACGUGCAGUUGUAAUCCAGGUUUCCGCAUCAACGUCACCAAUAAUUCACUUUGUGAUGACAUCGAUGAAUGUGCAAGCAACACAUCAAACUGUCAGCAGAUCUGCAACAACACAAUCGGAAGCUUCUUGUGCAGUUGUAAUCCAGGAUUCAGCAUCAAUGUGAACAAUACUUCACUAUGUGAAGACAUCGACGAAUGUGCAACCAACACAUCAAACUGUCAACAAA